GCCUCUGUAGCUCAGUUGGUUAGAGCACUAGUGCACCAGAAUCGCAGGGCCGUAGGUUCAAUUCCUAUCAGAGGAC